UAAAUAGCCAGCCUGACAUUUGUUGGGCGCCGGCUUCUUAGAGGGACUUUUGGCUCAAGCCAAUGGAAGUACGAGGCAAUAACAGGUCGGCCAGAGAAAUAUUUCACAGGCCUGUUUACUUGUGGCGGAGCUUUUUGCUCUGUUAUACCGCUGGUUCAGAGGACGCCUAUGUUAUUACGGUAGGCCAAUUCUGUGGCGAGCUUAUAUAAGCCGUCUCAACGCACGCAAAGCGGUAGGCCUUUUGCGGAAUGCUUAGGUUUUAGGUACGUGCUGAAUCUCUGCAAGUCCAUUGCAGUGAAAAAUCAUAUGCUGUGAUGCCCUUAGAUGCUCUGGGCCGCACGCGCGCUACACUGACAGAGCCAGCGAGUACAUCACCUUGGCCGAAAGGUCUG
rnacentral:rRNA from 1 species